rnacentral:lncRNA from 1 species
AAAAGGUGAGGUUAGAACCGGGCCUCCGGACGGAACUGUGGGCGAGGGGAGGGGUCCGUACUCGGGGGGUGAUUUAGAGGAGGGACCCGGCCUAGCCGGUGGUUCAGGUGGCCGGUCGGGCUGGAAGGGCGGGGAUGAGGGAUGGGACGCAUCCCGGGGGAUGCUCCUCCAAAGCUUUUAUCGGGCGAGCGCAGUGGCUCACGCCUGUAAUUCCUGCACUUUGGGAGGCUAAGGAUGAAAGGCUUCCUAGCACAAACACCACCCCUGGAGUUCCCGGUACAUCAAUACCAGCCUGGGGAUCACGUUCUCAUCAAGAGUUGGAAGAGGGAAAGCUUGAGCCAGCUUAGGAGGACCUUAUCUGGUACUCUUGAUGAACGAAACAGCAAUCUGAAUGGCUGAAAAAGGAUGGACCCAGCAUUCCAGGGAGAAAACUUGGCAUUCUUUGGGAAUCUAACAGGAUGCAGUGAACCCAAGCCUUUUCAAGAGCUCACCAAUCAGACUGCCCUUGUCUAUCCAUGAGCAGAUGUUUGAUAGUAUUGCGGAGGACCUCUAGUGGGUAUGCUGCCAAGCAACUGGAGUGGCACUUGGGCUCUAAUCCAGUUGUCUAUCCCUUUCACCCUGG